rnacentral:RNase_P_RNA from 1 species
UGUAGUCUUCUGGUAAUCGCGGUCUAUUUUAUAUAGGCUGAGGAAAGUCCAAGCUUGCACAGGCUGCGAUGCCUGUAGUGAUCGUGCUUGCUGAAAAAAUAAGGCAAGGUACCAUUUUGAUGGUAACGGCAGAUAAAAGGGCUAAAGUCAUUUGACCAUGUCCGAGUAGUCUUGAAAAGUGCCACAGUGACGAAGCAAUAGUGGAAACAUUAUUGGUGGAACGCGGUAAACCCCACGAGCAGGUAACCCAAAAUUUGGUAGGGGCGCUUCAUGACGGAAAUGAACUAAUCAUGGGGGCGAGUUAUCUAACUCGGAGAUAGAUGAUUACCACCGAUUUUAGCUCCUGGGCUAAAUGACGUACAGAACGUGGCUUAUAGAGGACUACAUAUU